AGUGUUCCUGCUGUAUUUUUGUGUUCCUGCUGUAUUUCGGUGUUCCUAAGGCCUCCGUCACCUUCCUGUGUCCCCGUGUGAGGGAUCAGCAGCAGCACUGGAAUAUUUUCACUGCCGUCCAUGUGCUCCACGGCCGCCGCGCUCCAGCAGUGUGUGGCUNNNNNNNNNNCCCCCCCCCCGCGGCCUCCUGCUGGGCUGCCCAGGCACCAGAGGGGGAAUUGGGCAUUUCCAGCACAUCUCGCUCCAAGUGCCUCUGCUGGGGCAAAGACUGCUCAUCCUAUUUGGAGUCACAAAUACCAACGGAGUCACAGCCACUUCUUGUCUUAUGCCUCCUGUUGGGCAGAAUGGCCUCGUGGCUGGGCCAGGAUGCACCAGAGAGAUGAUUUAUCAGUGUCACUGCAGAUUUGGCAUCCAUACCAUACAUCAGGGGCAGGAGCUGCCUGUCCCGGGCUCCCCACGAGGUGGCAAUGCUGCUCUCCUGUGCAGGAGCAGCUCUGCCGCCAGGAAAAUCUCAGUGUGUGGGGCCGUGGCGGUGUCUGGGGAGCUUCCAGGUGCGUUUUGGGAUCACCAGGUGGAGCGGAGAGCCCCCGGAGCGGUUUGUGUCCUGCUUUCCUGGUCCCACGGCACCGCAGUGGUGCUCGGGGCUGGGGCUGGCUUCUGGAAACCACUUCAAACCUUGGCAAUGAGGGGCACAGACGGGGCACGGCCGGGCUCUGCGGUGAGGAAACCCACAGACGGAGAGGGCAGGGGCUGCCCAGUGCCCAUGCUGUGGCUGCAGAGGAGCUGCAAGGGGAAAAGCCCCCGAGGGCACCGUGUGUGCACCCUGUGUGCGGGGUCCUGGGUGCUUUUGGGUGGGCGACUGACCUUUGGUGAGGCCACAACGCCGUGCUCUAGGGAUGGGAGGGAAUCCUCCCAGCCUUUAGCACCCACAAAUCAGCUUUUCUCCUCUCGCAUCCUUCCUGCAACCUCCACGUGACUGCAUGGACCCAGGUUCGGGACAAGCUGGAUUUUUGACGCAUGCUGUUUGAUCCCAUAAAUCAGCGCCGACAGUCAUUAGCCCUGAUGAUUAAUUAACCUGCUCCUGGAAAGCGCUGGGGCACGGCCGGGGUGAGCCCGGUUGUCACGGGGCCAGCGGCGGCGCAGGGCAUCCCCGCGCUGUGUGCUCAGAGGCCACAUUCCCUUUGUGCACGUGGGAAUUCCUGGAAAUUCACAUCCCAAAGUUUGCAAACCCUGGGAAAAAAUAAAAAUAAAAAAUUAAUGAGCGAGGGAAACGACCUCUGCCCACCCAGGGGAUGCUCUCUGUGCCACCUCCCCCCCCGAUCUGUGGGAUGCUGCAGGGACGGAGGGGCUGUAACGGGGACAUUCAAAGGCAGUUUCCAAAGCAUCCUCCUGGACACCGCAGCCUGUCCCAAGGCCACCCCUGGCUCCUGCCUCACCCGGGGACCCUCCAUCAGGAAUUUGCCUCCAGCUCUGUGCCUGUUGCUGCUUUCUAGCGGGGCGCACGCAGCCCGGGCUUUGUGG
rnacentral:lncRNA from 1 species